rnacentral:rRNA from 1 species
UACGUAGGGUGCGAGCGUUGUCCGGAAUUAUUGGGCGUAAAGAGCUCGUAGGCGGCCUGUCGCGUCGGAUGUGAAAGCCCGGGGCUUAACCCCGGGUCUGCAUUCGAUACGGGCAGACUAGAGUGCGGUAGGGGAGAUCGGAAUUCCUGGUGUAGCGGUGAAAUGCGCAGAUAUCAGGAGGAACACCGGUGGCGAAGGCGGAUCUCUGGGCCGUAACUGACGCUGAGGAGCGAAAGCAUGGGGAGCGAACAGG